GGAGGCCUGGCACAGACGCCCAGCCGUGGUGGAGAUGCCUGAGAUGGCUUGGGGACCUGCUGCCGGGGGAGCUCGCUGGCCCUGGAUGCUGCGUCCUCCAGCGGUCCUGCGCCCAGGCCUGGGGAAGAAGAAGCCCUGUGAUGUUCGGGAAGGAAGAGGAAGGGCCACUAGGCAGACACAGGACGGGCCCCAGAGUCAGCCCAGCACCUGCCCCCCAGCUGAGCACAGCCACUCACCUGUCUUGCAGGCUGGGGGGGCCCCGGGGAAGCUUUGGUCGCUGGAGAGGGAGGAGAGAGGGUUUCAGGAGGGCCUGGGGGGCCUAGGCAGACACAGCUGAGAGCAGGCACUUGCCUCUCAGUAGCGGCCAGGACAUCCCAGAGGAAGACGGCGUCCCCUGCGCUGAGGACCUGCUGCUGGUCAGGAGAGAAGGCCACAGCCUGCACGGGUUCCGAGUGGCCGAUGUACACCUAGGGGUAGCGGCGUCACAUGCAGGACCCCGAGGCGGGGCAUGGAUGCUGCCGUGUGCUCAGCCCCCAGGGACGGGGUCUCCAGGGCCACCUGAGGAGGCUCCUGACCGCCAAAGCCACCUGCCUCCCCACGCACACACCUGGGGGCCUGGGCUGGCCUGUGUCGCGUAGUCCCACACCUUGAUGGUCCGGCCGGCGGCAAUCAGCAGGAAGCGGGCGUCCUCACUGAGCGUCAAGGAGGGGCAGGGCUCAGGGUGGACACCAGGCAGCUGGAACACAGUGCUCUUGGGAAAUGCCGUGUCUCAGGAGAGUGGCCAGCAGCCUGGGGCCUCCCUUCGUUGUGGGUGUGGCGACGGCCCCCCACCCAGCUGGAGGGGCUGCAGGCACAGAGGCCAGGCCUGGACAGCACAGGGAGGGCCAGGUCGGCGGGCCACAGCCCUGAGGCUCACCUCCCAGAUGAUGCGGCCCGACACAGCAUCCAGCACCACGACUCUGUUGGAUGAGGUGGACACCAGCAGGUGGCCCAGAGCUGCAGGGCCAAAGCACACAGCCAUGGCUGAGUCCAGGCGGCUGCUGGCCAGGUCCAGAGUGCCGAUGUCAACUCGCAGCAGCUGGGGGUAGCGGACCCAGUCGGUGGACCAGGAAACCGGCAUGUGUGUCCAGGUGUUGGCCUGCACCAGACCCAGGCCUCCCCUGCCCUGAGGAGUCCCCCAGAGUGGCUGCAGGGGGCCCAACCUGCCACUCGGAGGACAUGCCACUGGGGGUCCGCACAGCUGUACUGGGCCAGGGAGCCCUGGGAGCAGGAGCUGAAGAGCAGGCGGCCGUCAGGGGUGGCGGUCAGGCUGGUGACAGCUCCUCGGUGGCACCUGCAGCACACACAGGGACCCCGCUGGCCCUAGCCCCGAAGCCCAGGUACCAUGGGGUCCCUCGACCUCCAGCCAACCAGCCUGGCCACGGAAGUCCCCAUGGGGCAGCAAAGGGUGGGGCUCCAGCCAGCACUGGCCAUCCUGCACAUGACCCCCACCUGGCCACCCCAGCUUCCACCGUGGGGUCUCCGUGGGGCUGGUGGCCAGCUGGGCACUUACGUGUGUUCCACCAGGACCUCAGCGGCCUCCAGGCUGAAGGAGCGCACAGCCCCACUGCUAAAGCCACAGAAAAAGGUUGGCCUUGUGGGGUGGAAGGUGACAGCGCACGGGGCUUCCUCUGAUGAUGUGAAGUCGUAUAGCUGUGGGACAGGGGCCAUGCUGAGGGGAGGGCAGGGAUCUCAAGGGCCCAGGGGCUCUCCAGGCGGCCCAAACUCAUGGGGCCGACACAGGCUGGAAAGUCCAGGUCCCUAUAGGCCCCCCUCACCCCCGCUGACAAACCCCAGCUUCAGGACCUCCUGGCCCUCCCUGCCGUGCUGCCCCUGCCGAACCCCACCUGCUGCAGGGUGGCCAGGUCCCAGAUGCGGACGGUGCGGUCCUGGGACACGGUGGCCAGCUGUCCCCGCCUCUGCUCCAUGGCGAGGGCCAGCACCGGGGCGGUGUGGGAGCGAGCCAGCAUGUGGUACACCCGGGACAGCGUGUCCAGGAAGCCCAGGUGGCCCGAGGAGGUGGCAGACAGCACACGGAGGCCAUCGGGGCUGACACAGACUGAGCUGACGGGGCCCUCGUGCUCUGUGGGUGGGGUGGGGUCAGGGGCCUCCAGGGCCACCCCGGGGUGAGCCGCAUGCUCAGGCUUCGGGUCCCCGAGACCCCAGCAAAUGCACUCCCUGCUGCUCAAAGUCCCAGGCUCCACACGGCUGCAAGAUGCAGCUCCCUCGAGACCACCACUCUUAGGCUAGGCGGGACACAGGCUGAGGGGCUUCACACAGUACCCACGUCCCACCGGGCCCUUCCGUGAGGCUGCCCUGCGGGCCGCCCUGGCAUCAGCCGCCCCAGGGCUCUGGAUACGCCACUUGGCCCCGUGGCACCCUGUGCAGCCAGGAGCCAGGGCGGCUGACAGCAGAGCCCCAGGGACUGGGCCUUCCCCGCCCCAGCAUCCAGGCGAGGCUCUCCCGGAGUUGGGAGAGCGUGCCCACAGCAUCACCUGCCUCCAGGAGCACCGAGGAGAAGUCCAGGGGCCAGAGCCGCAGGAAGCCGUCCUCAGAGCCCACAGCACACAUGGCCGGGGAGACGCUGAGGCUGCUGAUGGCAAUGCCGGGGCCUGGGGGCAGGGAGGCGUCAGUGCCUCGGUGUCCCUGCCACCCUCGCCACGUGGUGGGCGCCCUCUUACCUGAGCUGAAGGUCUGCUUCUGCGGGUGGGGACCGCCUGGAGUCCGUGUGGGGAGCAGGCGGCGGGCAUGCCGCACGACCAUGCGCUGACAGUCAAUCUCCAAGAUGUGGCCACUGCGGCUGCACACCAAGCUGCCCGAGGAGGCGGCAGGGAAGGUGAGGCCCUCAGGGAAGGGGAGGCCCAGGCACCAGGGCCCCCACGCCGGGGCAGGCCGUGGGGAAGGGCAGGGACUCACAGCAUGGCAGCUGAGGGCUCCGGGCAGCCGUCCCGGGCCUGCUUGAAGGCGAGGUCGGUGAACUGCAGCGCGUGGUGCUCCCCUAAGUCCACGGGGCAGGAACGCAGCGCCCCGCCACGCAGCCGCCAGAGCCGCACGCUGCCCUGCCCGCACGACGCCAUCCUGCAAGGAAUGAGGACUGAGCACCGCCGCAGCCCGCAGCGCCCUGACCCGCCGGGAGACGCAGCGACGCACAACCAAGCCAGGGGGAGGUGCUCGGGCCUCGGCCCCCACUCCGGGCCCAGACCCUCUCCCAACAUCGUGGAUGGGCAGCUGCAUCACCUGGUUUCAUCAAAAAAGGUGACCCGGAAGGCCUGGACGUCAAAGUCAGUGUGCGCCUUUGCCAGAACGACCACCUCGCCACCGAGGCCCACCUGGCCGGUGCCCCAGGCCACCACCAUCUGCAACAAGCCCAGGCUGAGCCCACAUGGCAGGGCCAGUCGGUGCCACCUCGAUUCUGCAAGGCCCAGCCGAGCCCCACCCGGAAGUGGCUUUUCUCUCACGCAGAGACCAGCCUCUGAGCAUGCGGCCGCGGAGAGUGGAAGGAAACCAGCCCCUCCAUCUUCUCAUCCUGAAGCUUUGGGACUUCUACAGAGACCCGCAAUGCUGAGCACUGCAACCCAUUCACAGAGAAGUACAAACCCACCCACAAGCCGGAAGGUGGAUAAAAAGCAGCUCGUGGCUGGGCACAGUAGCUCAUGCCUGUGAUCCCAGCACUUUGGGAGGCUAAGGUGGGAGGACUGCUUGAGCCCUGGAGUUUGAGACCAGCCUGAGCAAUGUAAUGAAACCCUAUCUCUACAAAAAGUUAAAAAAACAAAACGUGA